rnacentral:snRNA from 1 species
AUUGCUUCUUGGCCUUUUAACUAAGAUCAAGUGUAGUUAGUAUAGUUUUUUUUUUUAAUCUGUUUAAUAUUUGAUAUGUCCUCUAUCAGACAAUAUACAAAAUGGAUUUUUGGAGCAGGGAGAUGAAAUAGGAGCUUGCUCCAUCCACUCUGUGCAUCGGCCUGGUAUUGCAGUACCUCCAGGAAUGGUGCACUCCAC